UACAGAGGAUGCAAGCGUUAUCCGGAAUGAUUGGGCGUAAAGCGUCUGUAGGUGGCUUUUUAAGUCCGCCGUCAAAUCCCAGGGCUCAACUCUGGACAGGCGGUGGAAGCUGCCAAGCUGGAGUACGGUAGGGGCAGAGGGAAUUUCCGGUGGAGCGGUGAAAUGCGUAGAGAUCGGAAAGAGCACCAACGGCGAAAGCACUCUGCUGGGCCGACACUGACACUGAGAGACGAAAGCUAGGGGAGCGAAUGGG
rnacentral:rRNA from 1 species